CGGGUACUAGCUUUGUAAGUUAAAAAUUAGAUUUGAGAAAAAUAAAUAAUCGUGCCCUUGUGUGUUUCCCUUCUAGUUGGUGGUGGUUGAUGUCUCCUCACUAAGUCUUUGUGACUUACCCCUUCUUCUUACAUUUUUUUCAGAUUCAAAGUCAAGUGCGUAGAAAGUUUGUAGCAGAGUUAAAGAUAUAUCAGUGUCAUUCUUUUGGUAGGUCUCCUAUGUGUAUGAACUGAAUUGUCGAUGUAUCUGCAGCUAUUGGUAGUCUAGAAAUGUUUUGUUUUGAAUUGUAUAAACAUCUAGUUAUGUCACUUUGAGAUUCUGCUGAUAAUACAAGUAUAUAGACAGAAUUCAUAUCUUGGAUAGUAUUAAAAAUUCAAAGGACACUCUGUCGAAAUUUCAUUGGAUAUCAUUUUAAGUGUAAG
rnacentral:lncRNA from 1 species